rnacentral:misc_RNA from 1 species
UUGAAAUCCAUUGGAUGUUGCUGGCCCCCUUGGGGCAUGUGCACUCCGCCUUUUCAACCACCUGUGAACCUAUUGUAGGCCCAGAUGUUAAAAAGUCUGAGUCUAUGUUUUAUCACAAACCCUGAAAAAGUUUAUAGAAUGUUUUUUAGACCUUAUGGUCGAAAAAUUGUAAUA